rnacentral:rRNA from 2 species
AAAUCCGGUUGAUCCUGCCGGAGGCGACCGCUAUUGGAGUUCGAUUAAGCCAUGCGAGUCUAGAGGCAAUAGCCUCGGCGUACCGCUCAGUAACACGUGGAUAACCUGCCCUGUUCAGGGGGAUAACCUCGCGAAAGUGAGAAUAAUACCCCAUAGUUCACCAUGCCUGGAACGGUUGGUGGAUCAAAGCUCAGGCGGAACAGGAUGGGUCUGCGGCGUAUCAGGUUGUAGGGGGUGUAAUGGACCUCCUAGCCAUCGACGCGUACGGGUUGUGGGAGCAAUCGCCCGGAGAUGGAUUCUGAGACACGAAUCCAGACCCUACGGGGUGCAGCAGGCGCGAAAACUUGACAAUGCGAGAAAUCGUGAUCAGGGAACUCCAAGUGGACCAGUUAUUACUGGUUUCUGAACUGACUCUAAACAGGUCGGGUAAUAGGGGCGGGAAAUAUCGGUGCCAGCCGCCGCGGUAAUACCGAAGCCCCAAGUGGUCGUCGAUCUUAUUGGGCCUAAAACGUCCGUAGCCGGUUUGGUACAUUCGUGGGUAAAUCAAACAGCUUAACUGUUUGAAUUCUGCGAGGACGGCCAAACUUGAGACCGGGAGAGGUGUAGGGUACCUGCGGGGUAGGGGUAAAAUCCUGUCAUCCCGUAGGGACCACCAGUUGCGAAGGCUCUACACUAGAACGGAUCUGACGGUCAGGGACGAAGCCUAGGG